rnacentral:rRNA from 1 species
AUAAGUGCUGAAAGCAAUCUAAGCACGAAACUUGCCCCGAGAUGAGUUCUCCCUGACCCUUUAAGGGUCCUGAAGGAACGUUGAAGACGACGACGUUGAUAGGCCGGGUGUGUAAGCGCAGCGAUGCGUUGAGCUAACCGGUACUAAUGAACCGUGAGGCUUAACCUUAC